UACGUAGGGGGCGAGCGUUGUCCGGAUUUAUUGGGCGUAAAGAGCGUGUAGGCGGCCAGGUAGGUCUGCUGUGAAAACUCGAGGCUCAACCUCGAGACGUCGGCGGAAACCAUCUGGCUAGAGUCCGGAAGAGGAGAGUGGAAUUCCUGGUGUAGCGGUGAAAUGCGCAGAUAUCAGGAAGAACACCUAUGGCGAAGUCAGCACUCUGGGACGGUACUGACGCUGAGACGCGAAAGCGUGGGGAGCGAACAGG
rnacentral:rRNA from 1 species